rnacentral:rRNA from 1 species
AACGUACGCUGGCGGCACGCCUAACACAUGCAAGUCGAACGAAGUAGCAAUACUUAGUGGCAGACGGGUGAGUAACAUGUAGGUAUCUGCCCUUUGGCCUGGAAUAACACGAGGAAACUUGUGCUAAUACCGGAUAAGUCUUUACGGAGAAAGCUUUAUGCACCAUUGGAUGAGCCUGCACUUGAUUAGUUUGUUGGUAGGGUAAUGGCCUACCAAGACUGUGAUCAAUAGCUGAUUUGAGAGGAUGAUCAGCCACAUUGGGACUGAGACACGGCCCAAACUCNUACGGGAGGCAGCAGUGGGGAAUCUUGCACAAUGGAGGAAACUCUGAUGCAGCGAUGCCGCGUGAGUGAAGAAGGCCUUUGGGUUGUAAAGCUCUUUCGUCGGGGAAGAAAAUGACUGUACCCGAAUAAGAAGGUCCGGCUAACUUCGUGCCAGCAGCCGCGGUAAUACGAAGGGACCUAGCGUAGUUCGGAAUUACUGGGCUUAAAGAGUUCGUAGGUGGUUGAAAAAGUUAGUGGUGAAAUCCCAGAGCUUAACUCUGGAACUGCCAUUAAAACUUUUCAGCUAGAGUAUGAUAGAGGAAAGCAGAAUUUCUAGUGUAGAGGUGAAAUUCGUAGAUAUUAGAAAGAAUACCA